AAAAGACAUUCCUUCUCAAAGUUUAAGAAGCUAAUAAAGUUAUUUAACCUUCAAAUUGAAGAACUAUGAAUCUGCCUUGAUGAAUAUAACAUGCGUUGAAACAAAUGCAUGUUGCUAAAACUUCAAAUAUGUAGUUACAAUAGGAUUCUUGAUAAACCAACCAAUGAUGACAUUAGGUUAAGGUGUAGCAGAGAUGAGUGGGGAACAACCUGGAAAAGAAAAGAAAUUACCAGGACUGCAGAAAUUUGACUUUGGCCAGAAUCUACCAUCUGAGCUUUUAACCAUUGUGACUUUUGAUGGUGCUGAAAGAUUGUAAAAUGUGGGCUUUCAUUCACAAUGGAAUCCACCAUCAAAUGCCAGUACUGAUGAUUUUGCCUCUAAAGGUAUCAUUUCCCAUCAUUUAAUUAUAGAUUUACAGAAGAAUGUUACACCAAUCCCUUUCUCUUAAAGGCACUAUAUUAAGAGAUCAUGCACUCUUCAAUUCAAUGAACAUACCUUGUUACACCAUGAGGAUAAGCAUUUGACCAUUUUGUAUGAGCUUGGGCUCUGAUAGUUGAUAAAAACACAUCCAGAAGAAAACUGUUAGCAUGAAAAUUGAUGCUCAAGCAGCUCCUCACAACAAACAUCUUCAACCAAGAAAAUGGCGCAAAAGUUGCCCCCCAAUUACAUCCCUUCCAAAAUGCCGAUUUUGUGCUUCAAAACUUCCCAUGACGACAAAUCCCUCGCUGCUUUUCUCAAGACCAAGGCCAAAACGUUGCGCUGCAUUCAUAGAAAAGGGUUCUGACAAACCUAUCCCAUUAUUCUGAUGCAGACCUAGUGUUAAGGAAACACUACUGCUUUCACCUGCUCCACUUAUACCAACUCCUACAGACGGAUGACUCAGCAUACUGUUGCAGGACAAAUUCAAUGGUUCCUCAUUCCCCAGAGGUAAAUCAGGAAGAUCAUUUCUAGUUCGCUUUGAGGGUAUGUCUUCAACCCUUUGGAUAGAGGUUGAUGAGUUGUCUGAAGUUAUAGAGUUUGAAAGAGGUAUCUGAUCACUUGAUUUGUUAGCAUCUUGUUCCUCCCUUUGUGAAGAUUUUUGUGCUUGCCGUGUUUCCAGCAUGUGUAUUUCCUCCACCAUUGGUUUCCAGAGCCUUACUCUUGCAUUGAUGAACCAAUUAGAGACCUGGCUCCGUGAUAGUCCAGUGUGUUUGGCCAACAUUAGCUUGUCUGUAUCUGUAGGAUAAGGAUGCAGGAAGUGUUCAAACAACCAUGCCCUAAGGACAGUUACAGCACGUUCAGGAAGCCCCCUCUGAGGUCGCCAAACAAGCUGGUGCUCCAUGAAUCCAGAGUUCUUAUCCAGCCUCUGCGCAUAAAGGCCUCUAUCAGUGUUACCAACCCUUGUAGCCUCUUCUUUUCCAUGGCUCAGUUGACCCUUAUUAGUGAACUGAAGCUGGUGAGUUAUUGCAUUCUUCAAGGACCUAAAAU
rnacentral:misc_RNA from 1 species